rnacentral:rRNA from 1 species
AGUGAACGCUGGCGGUAGGCCUAACACAUGCAAGUCGAACGGCAGCACAGUAAGAGCUUGCUCUUACGGGUGGCGAGUGGCGGACGGGUGAGGAAUACAUCGGAAUCUACUUUUUCUUGGGGGAUAACGUAGGGGAACUUACGCUAAUACCGCAUACGACCUACGGGUGAAAGCAGGGGAUCUUCGGACCUUGCGCGAUUGAAUGAGCCGAUGUCGGAUUAGCUAGUUGGCGGGGUAAAGGCCCACCAAGGCGACGAUCCGUAGCUGGUCUGAGAGGAUGAUCAGCCACACUGGAACUGAGACACGGUCCAGACUCCUACGGGAGGCAGCAGUGGGGAAUAUUGGACAAAGGGCGCAAGCCUGAUCCAGCCAUACCGCGUGGGUGAAGAAGGCCUUCGGGUUGUAAAGCCCUUUUGUUGGGAAAGAAAAGCAGCAGGUUAAUACCCCGCUGUUCUGACGGUACCCAAAGAAUAAGCACCGGCUAACUUCGUG